UACGGAGGGUGCGAGCGUUGUCCGGAAUCACUGGGCGUAAAGGGCGCGUAGGCGGCGCGAGUAGUCAACGGUGAAAGCCCGGGGCUCAACCCCGGGUCGGCCGUCGAUACUCUCGUGCUUGAGCACUGUAGAGGCAGGUGGAAUUCCGGGUGUAGCGGUGAAAUGCUUAGAUAUGACAUAGAACACCAAUUGCGAAGGCAGCUCGCUACACAUAUAUUGACUCUGAGGCACGAAAGCGUGGGGAUCAAACAGG
rnacentral:rRNA from 1 species